UGGGGAAUUUUGGACAAUGGGGGAAACCCUGAUCCAGCCAUCCCGCGUGUUCGAUGAAGGCCUUCGGGUUGUAAAGCACUUUUGGCAGGAAAGAAACGUCAUGGGUUAAUACCCCGUGAAACUGACGGUACCUGCAGAAUAAGCACCGGCUAACUACGUGCCAGCAGCCGCGGUAAUACGUAGGGUGCAAGCGUUAAUCGGAAUUACUGGGCGUCAAGCGUGCGCAGGCGGUUCGGAAAGAAAGAUGUGAAAUCCCAGAGCUCAACGUUGGAACUGCAUUUUUAACUACCGGGCUAGAGUGUGUCAGAGGGAGGUGGAAUUCCGCGUGUAGCAGUGAAAUGCGUAGAUAUGCGGAGGAACACCGAUGGCGAAGGCAGCCUCCUGGGAUAACACUGACGCUCAUGCACGAAAGCGUGGGGAGCUAACAGG
rnacentral:rRNA from 1 species